GGAGAACUAGAAUUUUCUAAGUAAAAGUUUAAAUACCUACACAUUUAAUUCGUGUAAUAAAUUAACUAAGUGGAAAGAGUUAAAUAUUAUUAUGUAUUUACUUGUAACAUUUACAUGUUUUAUAGUCACUGCACAUAAACCUAAUAAUAUUAAGUAAAUUUUACUUUUUAAGUUUAGUUUAAAUUUCAAAUUAAACCGCGCAUGCGUGUUUGGAGACGCUGUACCCGCGCUGUGGAUCAGUCGGUUGGGGAUCAUCACGGAGGUACAGCACGGCGUGGCUGGAGCUGGAGUUUGGCGUGUUCGAGAAACAAAGCGUAGAGAUGAGACGUGAAUCUGAAGAGGAUCUCUAAUGAUUGCCUGGAGGACAGACGAAGUGAUGCCAGUUUGCACAUUCUUAAAAUCCUUGUUGUCCGUGCUGUUGAAGGGGAGGAACCAGUUGGUGUAUCCAUAAUCCUUGAAGGAAAGGAAAUUUUGCAAUAUUGUGGCAAUACUGCAAAUGCAUGUGCACUGCUUAUGGGAGUAAUUUAUGCCAUAAACCUUGCAGACCCCCGAGCACUGCGCUACACAUUUGAGCUAUUUCAGAAAGUUCUUUUAGAACUUGGUGGGAUUAAGCUAUCACCAAAAGUGCAAGCUUUAAAGAUAAAGUUAUCAUCUUAAAACAUUUGAUAUGGCUUGACUACUUGUCUGAACAUGUUCAGUGUUUACAUGUUCAGCUUAAAAUGUUUUAAUGCGUUAAGUUUCAAUGGCAUACUUUUAAGUGCACUAGUCCAGAGUGCUGAUUUGAAUGUUGCAACUUCACUGCUACAGAGGGCUAUUAAGUUUUAAAGUUUAUUCUACAGUUUAUUUAAUGUAUUUUCUGCUGUAUUUUAUUUCUAAAUGAAUGCUGUAUUUUAUUAAUUUAUUUAUUUAUUAUUAUUUUACACAAUUUUGUUUAAAACAAGUAUUUCAGGCCCUGGUGCUGUGCAGAUGUUCCUAUGGAUGCAAAAUUUAUCUGAAUGCACAUUUAUUAAAAAGACAACCUGUAUCUAGACUGUGAAUGUCAAAAAUAUUUGGUAAUG